GUUGUGCCUGGGCUGUGAGGGCUCUCAGCCACAUGGAGGGAAAAGAAUCGAAGAAGCAUCUGACUCCUUCAU
rnacentral:tRNA from 1 species